rnacentral:tRNA from 1 species
GCAGAGGUAGCCCAGCCCGGAAAGGCGCCAGACUCGAGAUCUGGUGGGUCUUAUGGCCCGCGGGAGUUCGAAUCUCCCCCUCUGCG